CCCUUAGAUGUUCUGGGCCGCACGCGCGCUACACUGAUGCAUUCAACGAGUCUAAAACCUGCUCUGAUAGGGGUGGGUAAUCUUUUGAAUGUGCAUCGUGAUUGGGAUAGAUGAUUGCAAUUUUUCAUCUUCAACGAGGAAUGCCUAGUAAACGCAAGUCAUCAGCUUGCAUUGAUUACGUCCCUGCCCUUUGUACACAUCGCCCGUCGCUCCUACCGAUUGAAUGAUCCGAUGAAUAUCAUGGAUUGAGGAUGCAAGCAGGUUCGCCUGUCUUCAUCUUCGAGAAGUGAAGUAAAUCUUAUCAUUUAGAGGAAGGAGAAGUCGUAACA
rnacentral:rRNA from 1 species